AGUGAACGCUGGCGGUAGGCCUAACACAUGCAAGUCGAACGGCAGCACAGUAAGAGCUUGCUCUUACGGGUGGCGAGUGGCGGACGGGUGAGGAAUACAUCGGAAUCUACUUUUUCGUGGGGGAUAACGUAGGGAAACUUACGCUAAUACCGCAUACGACCUACGGGUGAAAGCAGGGGAUCUUCGGCCCUUGCGCGAUUGAAUGAGCGGAUGUCGGAUUAGCUAGUUGGCGGGGUAAAGGCCCACCAAGGCGACGAUCCGUAGCUGGUCUGAGAGGAUGAUCAGCCACACUGGAACUGAGACACGGUCCAGACUCCUACGGGAGGCAGCAGUGGGGAAUAUUGGACAAUGGGCGCAAGCCUGAUCCAGCCAUACCGCGUGGGUGAAGAAGGCCUUCGGGUUGUAAAGCCCUUUUGUUGGGAAAGAAAAGCAGCAGGUUAAUACCCCGCUGUUCUGACGGUACCCAAAGAAUAAGCACCGGCUAACUUCGUG
rnacentral:rRNA from 1 species